rnacentral:rRNA from 1 species
GAUGAACGCUGGCGGCGUGCCUAAUACAUGCAAGUCGAGCGAACGGACGAGAAGCUUGCUUCUCUGAUGUUAGCGGCGGACGGGUGAGUAACACGUGGAUAACCUACCUAUAAGACUGGGAUAACUUCGGGAAACCGGAGCUAAUACCGGAUAAUAUUUUGAACCGCAUGGUUCAAAAGUAAAAGACGGUCUUGCUGUCACUUAUAGAUGGAUCCGCGCUGCAUUAGCUAGUUGGUAAGGUAACGGCUUACCAAGGCAACGAUGCAUAUCCGACCUGAGAGGGUGAUCGGCCACACUGGAACUGAGACACGGUCCAGACUCCUACGGGAGGCAGCAGUAGGGAAUCUUCCGCAAUGGGCGAAAGCCUGACGGAGCAACGCCGCGUGAGUGAUGAAGGUCUUCGGAUCGUAAAACUCUGUUAUUAGGGAAGAACAUAUGUGUAAGUAACUGUGCACAUCUUGACGGUACCUAAUCAGAAAGCCACGGCUAACUACGUG